rnacentral:tRNA from 2 species
GCGGGUGUAGUUCAAGGGUAGAACCUCAGCCUUCCAAGCUGAUGAUGUCGGUUCGAGUCCGAUCACCCGCUCCA